UGCGCGUAGUCGAAUGUCGAAAGG
rnacentral:piRNA from 1 species